UACGGGGGGGGCAAGCGUUGUUCGGAAUUACUGGGCGUAAAGGGCUCGUAGGCGGCCAACUAAGUCGGAUGUGAAAUCCCCAGGCUUAACCUGGGAAUUGCAUCCGAUACUGGAUGGCUUGAAUCCGGGAGAGGGAUGCGGAAUUCCAGGUGUAGCGGUGAAAUGCGUAGAUAUCUGGAGGAACACCUGUGGCGAAAGCGGCGCACUGGACCACAACUGACGCUGAGGCGCGAAAGCUAGGGGAGCAAACAGG
rnacentral:rRNA from 1 species